GAUGAACGCUAGCGGCAGGCCUAAUACAUGCAAGCCGGACGGCAAGUUGAGUAGCAAUACUUGACCUAGAGUGGCGUAAGGGUGCGUAACACGUAUGCAAUCUGCCCACAGCCGGGAGAUAGCCCUCCGAAAGGAGGAUUAAUAUCCCAUAGGAAGAUGAGAUGGCAUCAUUUUAUUUUUAAACUACGGGGCUGUGGAUGAGCAUGCGGUUGAUUAGCUAGUUGGCGGGGUAAAGGCCCACCAAGGCGAUGAUCAAUAGGGGACCUGAGAGGGUGAUCCCCCACACUGGCACUGAGAUACGGGCCAGACUCCUACGGGAGGCAGCAGUAGGGAAUAUUGGA
rnacentral:rRNA from 1 species